UCUCUUUUACAGCCAGUGAUAUUGAUCUACAGAUGGAAGAGUGCAUGUCCUUCACCACAGAACCCAUUCUUAUGGAAGGAUCCUCCGAAUUCAAGAUCCUGAGGAACAAGUGGACAUCUGUGGAUGACAAAAGUUUGAACACACGGUUGUCCUCACCAGUGAUGGGGUGGAGAUUCUGACCAAACUCAGAUGAAGAUUGACCGGACAAGAAUAUGGAUCAUCUUGAAGUGUGG